rnacentral:rRNA from 1 species
CAGCAGCCGCGGUAAUACGUAGGGUGCGAGCGUUAAUCGGAAUUACUGGGCGUAAAGCGUGCGCAGGCGGUUUUGUAAGACAGGCGUGAAAUCCCCGGGCUCAACCUGGGAAUGGCGCUUGUGACUGCAAAGCUAGAGUGCGGCAGAGGGGGAUGGAAUUCCGCGUGUAGCAGUGAAAUGCGUAGAUAUGCGGAGGAACACCGAUGGCGAAGGCAAUCCCCCGGGCCUGCACUGACGCUCAUGCACGAAAGCGUGGGGAGCAAACAGGAUUAGAUACCCCGGUAGUCCCUGUCUCUUAUAC